UCGCAUCCAUAUGUUCCACGUCAUUUCUCUUUGAUGCGCACUGCUCAAUUUUUUAUCUUUUGUUAAGCGCUUCUCAUGUGUUUGUUGUUUUGCCUAAGAGAAUCUUCCUUUUUUUUGUUUAAGCCCUUAUGUUUUCCAAUGACUAUUUAAUCUAUUCUGGUUAAAGUGUUUUUGUAUUAAUUCAUUCUCUUUUCAAGAAUAUGAGAUCAGUUCCUUUUCUCCUCUCUGUUUUGCUUUACACCAUGAGCACUUUGUGCAGUCUCUCUCGUCUUUCUAAUCUCAAGAACAUGAUGCACGUAGAUGAGGUAUGAUAUGGUAUCAGAGUUCUUCUAUUGAAGGCUCUGUUGUGUCAACUCUAAUCUCUUGCUUUUUCUUUUUCUUUCUUGUUAUUCUUUUUCCCUUUCUUGUUGUUCUUUCUUUUUCCUUCUGUGUGUUUUCUUUGCUACCAUGGCAGGAAUACAGGACCAACAAUCUGUUCAGAGUUUUCUCUACCACCAUCCAAAUGAGAAUCCAGCCAUUGCUCUGGUUUCACCAGUCUUGGAUACUAUUAACUAUCAUUCAUGAGUCGUUCAAUGGUUACACCUUAAUCGCUAAGAACAAGAUGCAAUAGUAUGGUUGAUAUAGAACGAGCUUGAUAAUUUUAGGCCUGAACCAGUUUGCACCUGCAAAGCAUGGGUAUCCACCGGGACAUCCUCUUCAUCGAACCAAGCAGCUUCAUGUUCAUAAUGUUCCUGCACAAUAUGAUUAUUCUUCUACCAAAAAUCUGCAUGACAAUGACAACAUUCGCCUGACUCCACAACAAUAUCAAAUUCUUGUUGAGCUUUUCAAGAAUUCUACUUCUAGUUCAACUGUCCAAAUCAACCAAAUUGGUUAUGCCUCUUCCAACAAUUCCAUAACUGGAACUGAUAAUGGCCCUGAGUUUCUCAUGUGUUUACACCCAUUCCACCGCUACCAGUGAUAAUGAUGUCAAUAUUCCUCACACCAACAACAUUGAUACUGCCCUUACUGAGGAGAUCUAUGCUACACAACCAAGGCGGUCUCUCAGAACCAAAAAGACCAUCCUCUUCAUCGAACCAAGAAGCCUCGUGUUCAUAAUGUUUAUGCACAAGAUGAUCAUUCUUCUACCAAAGAUCUGCAUGAAAACGACAGCAUUGCCUGACUCCGCAACAAUAUCAAAUUCUUGCUUAGCUUUUCAAGAAUUAUACUUCUAAUUCAACUGUCCAAAUCAACCAAAUUGGUUCUUCCUCUUCCAACAAUUCCAUAACUGUGUUAUACAGGACAUGAGAACCAACGAGAAGAUUGGUUUAGUUAGGAUGCAAGCUGGCUUGUACAUGUUUAAUUCCAGUGAUUUUCUUGACAAUACUAAACAUUCUGUGUGUA